rnacentral:lncRNA from 1 species
AGAAAUACAACUGUGAGAGCAGCUAGUCCCCACCAAAAGCCACCACAAAUUACCCUUCAAAGUGGUUAGUUUCUUGUAACUAUUAGAGCUGUCCUCAUAUCUUUGUUUUUAAAAGCAUUUAGGAAUCUCAUGAAUAGGUUCCAUACUGAAGAACAAUGCUGCAAGAUCAGCUCUGGGCUUUUAAUGCAAUGAUAUAUAAUUGGAGCCCAAAUAGUCAUUCUAGAUUGAUGCUCUCGGCUCUCUGUGCUGCUGAAUUAGAAGGGAUGAAUGAUGAGGUACUGCUGGAAUUCACUCCUCUUCAUGGAGCACAGCCGUCAUCUGCAGUCAGGCAUCAGUGUUGACAUUUGCUUUUAAAAAGGCCAGGGAUUAGGACACAUGGAGCCAGCUGCUUUCUAAGCUGUGAAGUAAGAGCCACAAUCAAGAGAUCACUGAGGCUCACUGCCAAACCUAGAUGAGAUCUGACUUGUCGAUGGCAGAAGAUUGGUUGCACUGCAUUAUAAUAAUACGUUUUUUGAAAGAGAAUAUGAAAAGAGAUGAGACUGCAGAGAAUUCUGCAAGGAACAGUGCUCAUUCCCAUUCAGAAUUACAAUGAGGAAAUGUCUCCGAUACAGGCAACAGCUUGAACUUGUUUUCACCCAAGUAACUCAUUAAGGGAGAGGCUCAGAAGCAUUGCCAUGGGGGCAGAGAGCUGCUGCAAGAGGGCAACUGAAAUGUCAUCAUCAACUGCAGCACUGCGAGGUUUGUCUGGAGCUGGAUCACUCCUGACUUAUCUCAUAUAUCUAUUCAAAAAGACCUGCAAAUGGGAUGGAAAUGGAAUUGCACUUUAGGGCAAGAAGAGAAGAAGUCACAGCACUUGUGGUCUGUUUUCAGUUCACCAGGGCUACAAACUACAGCAGCUUCCCUGCAAAGUCUGCAGUAAUGUGCAAACAGAAAUAAGCGGUGAGUGGCUGUUGCAAACUACACUGGUCUCCUGGCAUUUUCGGCUGUUUUCCACCCACCCUUGAAAAUCAUCUCUGGCGCAAAAUGGAACUGUGAGCUGUACCACAUGCUCUAAAUGAAGUGCUAAUCAAAUACUUCUACUUAAUGUAGACAACAUUUAUUUGAAAACAUUAUAAUGUAUUGCAGAUGUCAUGAAAUCCCGUAGAGAAUGAUGAAGGGAGCAAAUGUACAUAUUGCACCCCUCUCUAGGAUUCUAGGACGUAGGGAUGUAACCUGGGUGGUUGUGACUGAUAAGGCCUAAUACUGAAACAGCACUUGUCUGAUUCAACUUCCCACACGUUCUCCCACAGUGACCUUGGUAUCAGAAGUACUGCAGGUGCUUCCAUCUGGCUGCACACUGACAAAUGGGAGAUAAAUGGUGGAGCCAUAGAGCUUGAUAGAUACUUGGAGUCUAAAAGAAAGCAGGUAAGAACUGGCAGAUGCUGCAGAAAAGGGCCUAAAUCUUUCCGGGUGGAGGCCACAGCCAUACUGGAGGAGCUGGCAAAUGGUUUCUGGCUCAGGCUGUCCCAGUGCAGGACAGAACUCCACAGCAAAGGAACUGAAAGGCUUUGGGUUUAGAGUAUGCUCUAAAGUCCUUUCUGACAACAGGAGAAAGGAUGAAAAUCCAGCUCCAAAGUAGCUGGAAGGGUCUUGUAAAAUAUUGCUAUUGAAAUCAUGGUCAAUCUUUAGGUUUCAGGGUCAGCAGCCAUCAAGCUUAGAAGAGCCAGAUCACCCAACUUUUGGGAUAUGCUUAUGCGGUUAAUGGACCAUAUGUUCAAGUCCAUUUCCAAGUCCAGACUUGCCCAUGAGCAGCUUGCUUUCAUGCAAGCUCUGGCACAGGCUCAAGUCCAGCUCUGCUCUGUCUUGAGGGAAGAGUUUGAGCAAAAUGGAUGUCUUUGUGCAGACCCAGGCUGUCAUCAGUGCAGCCUGGGUGGAUUAGACAAAAGCAAGGCUGUGCAUACAGGGGUUCAGUUUUCCAUCAUGAAUCCAAAAAUUGGAUUGAAACACUUUCUGUGUAUGCCAGACCCAAAUUACCACCAGGCCAAUAGCUAGCCAAGUGGACAGAAACUUGCGUGUCACGGAGCUUGUCUCCACGUGCCUGUGCUCAUCACACACAUGGUCUCUGUCUGCAGGCAGGCUCUGAGGUCAAGCCCUGUUGGGUCAUUUUUUGUGGAAGGAGAUUUUUCUCAUAAUCCACAGGACUAGGAAUACAUACUGUCCUUUCUAUGGCAGUUCAAACCCUUGGGUAUCUGAGGCACUGCCUGUGAGACAUCGGCACUUUUGUCUUGAGCUCAGGCUUCAGGGACGGGUCAGUGGUCCCUGUCGCACACAGUGGGGCAGGAAAGAGAGAUUUUUGGAGUGUUUCAGCUGCAAUGGUCUGAAUAUACCCCACAAACAAAGCGAAUAGGGUGGAAAGAAUAAACUAGAAAAUCUAGUUUUCAUGCAGUAAUGGUUGCUUAUAGGCUGGGAAAGAUCUCUGAUGCUCCAAUGCCAGGAUGGGGGAAAGAGCCUGGUUAGGCAGAGGUUCCAAUCUGGAGAGGAAGGAGUGUAAGCCAGGACUCCUGGAUUUCAUUAGUUUGUGCUAACUAGUUGUUAGUGGUUUGCCUAAUGAUAAAUGGAUUGCCUAAUGGUUUGCUCUUCAAAAUGGAUAGUACUACCCUAUCUCAUUGAGAUCAAGUAACAAAGGUGUGUUAAUGCAGGUGAAAUAAUACUUGCGUAGGACUUCCAGGCCUGCAGAUGAACACUGCAAUAGUGCCUGCAUUUUGGGGUGUCAGUGAUGAUGAAUAAAUCUUACGUUAACACUGGAUAUGUGUAAACUUAUAAGUUCAUAUUAAAGAAGCAGCUUAGCACUGAAGAGUUAAUAGGUGGGGGAAAAAAAGAAGUCCAGUUCUGUUUUCAUUCUGACACAUUUUGCUUUGAACUGCAGCCAGCAUGAACUACCUCUGCCCUGAUCCUGCAGUACAACCUCACUGCACUCACAGAGCUUUUCUCCCUGGGACUGUCCCCUGCAGGUCUCCCCAGCAGAAACUAAACUGGGUAUUCAUAGAUCCCUAACUGCAAAUUGAACUCUGUCUCUUUUCCUUUUGAAAAUCGCAGGCUUGUAAAGAUCUGAAGCUGGUUUAGCAGCUGUUCUCUGCAGCAGGACUGUGCUUAUUGGGCAAUGUUAAAGCAGUUAUUUUUAUUUAGAGUGAAGCCAACAUGUUUCCUUGCUAGUGGAAGGACCAAUGCGGAUCAUACUGUACUGAGUUUCUGCCUGCAGUGCCCAAAGCCUGCAGGCAAAAUUGACCCAAAGGGUGAUGAUCUGGGCAUGAGCAAAUCUCAAGCUGGACAAUUUCUAAAUUAAUUACUUGUAAUUUGUGGUGGUUCUAAGUGCAGAAUUAUGGAUGCAGCCACUGUAAAUAAUAUUUUGGGUAGCACAGUUCAUUUAUUAUCCACCUCUUGUGGGUAGGGAGGAAGUUUCAAUGUGGGAUUCAAGCACUCAGGGGUCAGAGUUGCUUUCAUAGCUGCAGUAGGCACCAGCACGAGCUCACAGAGAGCUGUGGGUGUCCUGUGUGGAGAUACCAGGAAAUACUGGGGAGUCUGAUACUCUCUUGGGAGAAAAAGGAGGUAGGAAUGAAGACGAUGCAGAAAUAGGAAAAGAGGUGAAGAGUCUUCCUUAAUGAAGUAUUACACAUUGAGAAUGUGAACUUAAUUGCCAGUUGCAAUUUAUCAUGACCACAUAAAAUUCAAAGUACUUUGGUAUUUAAAUAGUUAUAGAUUCCACGAUGAGUCAGGAAGCUGAGUUGAUAUUUUAUCCAUGGCCAUGCUGGUGAAUGCUUUACUAAUGGAAGGAUCUUAUUUCCACUUCCAUUUCUUUAAUGGUAUUUCUGUUCUCAGAUUAUUUUGUUGUAGAUAAAUGGCACAAAAUGAAUAAAACUCGUACUUCUGGGGCUAUGUA